rnacentral:rRNA from 1 species
UACGUAGGGACCAAGCGUUGUUCGGAUUUACUGGGCGUAAAGGGCGCGUAGGCGGCUUAACAAGUCACUUGUGAAAUCUCCGGGCUUAACUCGGAACGGCCAAGUGAAACUGUUAUGCUAGAGUGCAGAAGGGGCAAUCGGAAUUCUUGGUGUAGCGGUGAAAUGCGUAGAUAUCAAGAGGAACACCUGAGGUGAAGACGGGUUGCUGGGCUGACACUGACGCUGAUGCGCGGAAGCAUGGGGAGCGAACAGG